AUCGUGGUAGCUCAGCGGAUUGAGCAUCAGGCUAGGAACCUGAGGUCACGGGUUCGACUCCCGUCCACAAAC
rnacentral:tRNA from 1 species